rnacentral:rRNA from 1 species
UACGUAGGGGGCAAGCGUUGUCCGGAAUCAUUGGGCGUAAAGCGCGCGUAGGCGGCCCGGUAAGUCCGUUGUGAAAGUCAAAGGCUCAACCUUUGAACGCCGAUGGAUACUGCCGGGCUAGAGUCCGGAAGAGGCGAGUGGAAUUCCUGGUGUAGCGGUGGAAUGCGCAGAUAUCAGGGGGAACACCAAUAGCGAAGGCAGCUCGCUGGGACGGUACUGACGCUGAGGCGCGAAAGCGUGGGGAGCGAACAGG